AAGCCUUUUGAAGACGGAAGUUUUGUUUUGACCGCCAAUGAGUUUAGGUGCCGAAACUCUGGGCUUUGAACAAUUCAUUCUAUCGAAUACUGAUGUCUGGGGGGCAGGUUGAGGCUCAUCUCUAUCUUGUAUAAUGUGUAUGCUGAUGUGUUGAGCGCUAGCAUUUUUUGCCUUGCUGGAGAUUUUCACCGGUGCAUUUGGUGUGAAGCCAAGCCCAGCUUUGUUGUUGCUAACCCCGUAACCAUGCUUCUCUAACUUCUUCUGAGUUUUAGUGAGAUCACGUUCGUUGUCUUUGACGGUGUUCAAAUCAUUCUUUCCCAAAUU
rnacentral:lncRNA from 1 species